UUGGUGGCUGUGGUGACUGGCAGUGGCUCCAGCAGCGGGGUGAUGGGGCUGGUGCCUUUCCCUGAUCAGCCUG